rnacentral:misc_RNA from 1 species
AAGUCGUAACAAGGUUUCCGUAGGUGAACCUGCGGAAGGAUCAUUAAAGAGUUAGGGUCUCACAGGCCCGACCUCCAACCCUUUGUUGUAUAACUAAACUGUUGCUUUGGCGGGACCGCCGGUCUCGAGCUGCUGGCUUCGGCCCGGCAAAGUGCCCGCCAGAGUCUCUCAAACCUUGUUUUAACCGGUCGUCUGAGUAAAUUUUGAAUUAAUCAAA